GACGAACGCUGGCGGCGUGCUUAACACAUGCAAGUCGAACGGAAAGGCCCUGCUUUUGUGGGGUGCUCGAGUGGCGAACGGGUGAGUAACACGUGAGUAACCUGCCCUUGACUUUGGGAUAACUUCAGGAAACUGGGGCUAAUACCGGAUAGGAGCUCCUGCUGCAUGGUGGGGGUUGGAAAGUUUCGGCGGUUGGGGAUGGACUCGCGGCUUAUCAGCUUGUUGGUGGGGUAGUGGCUUACCAAGGCUUUGACGGGUAGCCGGCCUGAGCGGGUGACCGGGCACAUUGGGACUGAGAUACGGCCCAGAAUCCUACGGGAGGCAGCAGUGGGGAGUAUUGCACAAUGGGCGGAAGCCUGAUGCAGCAACGCCGCGUGCGGGAUGACGGCCUUCGGGUUGUAAACCGCUUUCGCCUGUGACGAAGCGUGAGUGACGGUAAUGGGUAAAGAAGCAACGGCUAACUACGUG
rnacentral:rRNA from 1 species